AUUUUAGCGGGGUCGAGAGCGAGGACAGCAAACGAGGCUGCGCUUCUCCCUGUCCACCAGGAGCACACGCAGCUGAGAGUCUUAAUUCACGUGGCUCGACAGGUGAUCCGGAGGAAUAUGUCGUGGUGUGUCUGUGUGUAUACAGGUGUGUGUGUAUCCACGCGCGUGUUCGUGCGUACGAGAGUGCCUGUGGUUGUGCGGGAAACAGCGUGUACCGGGCGGCCCGCGAAGAUUCUUCUCCCCAAGGCACCUUCCGGCUUUUCUCCGCGCCCCCUUCGCGGCUGCCGGGAGGGUAAUUAAACGGGACGCGCCGCAGCCGGCAAACAGAUGGCGUCUGCUUGCUCCGAGGCCGCCGGCAAACAGCGCAAAAGUCAAUGCCUCCCGGGUCCCCCGUCAGCGCCCCUGGCCCGGCUCCUACUCAGCGCCACCAAGCCAUGCCUCCAGCCCCCUGUGCACCCUCAGCCUCUGACUCCAGCCUCACUCCGGGUCUCCACCACGGCCAUCCCUUUGGACCCCACCUUCGCCUGGGCGAAAGCAUCGGGGAUGGGGCCAGCCGCGAACACUGGUGGGUGGACUUUCGUGCGUGGCUGGGAGCGCUCACCCGGGGCUCCCAGCCCCUUGCACAGCAGAGGCAUCAGCAAAUGAUUCUGAGCUAAGAGGACCUGCGUGAGUGAGUGUGUCGGUGUGUGAUUGUGAAGACGGGCUUUCUGUCCUCCGCUGCCUCAUUUGUACGGGAGGUCUGGCUUUCUCUGCCCAGAGUCCAGCCGCCUGCAGGGGCCAGACCUGGAGUAGGGUUAGGUCCGUGCAGGAGCGAAGGCACAUGUGCGUGAGCAUAUGCUAUUGGUGUUCCGUCUGUCACCCAGGUAGGAGUCUGGGUGUCUGGGUGAAAGGUCACACACCAACUGCAUGUUCCAGGAUGAGGAUAUGCUUGAGAGCGCUGUGAAGUUAAUCGAACUUUCUGAAGGGAUCCUCUUGGGUGGGAGGGUGGCCGGGUCAGAGGUGAGUGCACCCUGUGCGUGGUCAGUGCAUGCAGGUGUGAGGAUGUGUCCAAGACUUUUGCAGAAUGAGGUCACACAUACCAGUUGUGUGUCCAGGUAUGAUGCCACACUCUGGUGUAUGGGCGGCCCCUGCUGCCUCAGUCUGGGCAUGCUCCCUCACUCCUGGCCGCUCAGCCAGGCCACCCCCUUCCGGGCUGCUCCCCUCUGUGAGCUCAAUUCAAACCAGGACUAGCCCGGGAGUGGCCUGUGGAGGUGUGAGUGCACGCCUCCCUCCAUGACACAUUCACUCACAUGAGCACCUGGGGCAUCAGAAGAAAGGGUGUGGGUCUCGAACCUGUUGGGCUGUGAACAGGAGGGAGAAGGAUCCACCGAAGAGAGAGGCACCUGUCCUAAGGGUGGGCAGAUUCCCUCUGAUUGGGCUGGGUUCCAGGAUGUGCCGUCUUCCUCUCCUAAGAAAAUGAGGUCCCUUACUAGCAAGAGAGCUCGGGGUUCCCAAGUCCUGGUGGCUGGACCCUUGGCUCCCACAGGUUUACUGGACCGAAGUGAGGGACUCUCACAGUGGCCUGGCACGAAGAGGGGUCUCUGGCCCACCGC
ensembl:lncRNA